GAAGUGCGAUAAGCAAUGCGAAUUGCAGAACCGUGAGUCAUCAGAUUUUUGAACGCAACUGGCGCUGCUUGGCUAUCCAGGCAGCAUGCUUGUUUCAGUGUCUUGUUUUCUCCUCACCCAAAUCUUAAUGUGAGAGAUACCCUUCUCUUGCUAAGUACGAAAGCACUCUGAGCUUCGCAGGUGGCUUGACUUCGGUCAAGGUCACACUCACUGCAGUCGUCACAUUGUUUACAGUGUGAACUCAUUGAGAGCAAAGUCAGCGCAGUUUAUCUGCAAGUGCUUAGACCUCUAAACUCUUCUUGCAUCUGAAAUCAAGCAGGAUCACCCGCUGAACUUAA
rnacentral:misc_RNA from 1 species